rnacentral:rRNA from 1 species
GAUGAACGCUGGCGGCGUGCCUAAUACAUGCAAGUCGAACGCUUCUUCCCUCCCGUUUGCCUUCACUCAAUUGGAACGGGCGGGUGCGUACCGCGUGGAAACCCUUCCUAAACCUACCCAAUAGCGGCGGAUAACCCGUGCUAACAGGUGCUAAUAUCGCAAAACAGAUUAUGCCGCAUUGCAUGACAGUCAUGCGCUCUCUCAGAGGUGGAUCCUCGUGGCAUUCGCGAGUUGUUAAGGUAACGGCUUACCAAGGCCACGAUGCAUAGCCGACCUGAGAGGGUGAUCGGCCACACUGGAACUGAGACACGGUCCAGACUCCUACGGGAGGCAGCAGUAGGGAAUCUUCAGCAAUGGGCGAAAGCCUGACCGAGCAACGCCGCGUGAGUGAAGAAGGUGUUCGGAUCGUAAAACUCUGUUAUUAGGGAAGAACAAGUAUGUAAGUAACUGAGCGUCCCUUGACGGUAUCUAACCAGAAAGCCACGGCUAACUACGUG